GCAGUCGCCGCGGGAAUACGGAGGGUGCAAGCGUUAAUCGGAAUUACUGGGCGUAAAGCGCACGCAGGCGGUCUGACAAGUCAGAUGUGAAAUCCCCGGGCUUAACCUGGGAACUGCAUUUGAAACUGUCAGGCUGGAGUCUUGUAGAGGGGGGUGGAAUUCCAGGUGUAGCGGUGAAAUGCGUAGAGAUCUGGAGGAAUACCGGUGGCGAAGGCGGCCCCCUGGACAAAGACUGACGCUCAGGUGCGAAAGCGUGGGGAGCAAACAGGAUUAGAUACCCGCGUAGUCCCUGUCUCUUAUAC
rnacentral:rRNA from 1 species